AUCCACAUUCUGUUCUCUUUGUCUGUGUCUCCUCUGCUACCCUGCAAAUAGGUUCCUCAGUAUCAUCUUUCUAGAUUCCGUACCUUCUUCCAGGAGGAGUCAAGGUGGCUCACAGCGGACACAUCAUGGCAGUGGAGGGCUUGCCAAUCGUGAUCUCCAUUGCGUCAUCUGCUUUUACUAAGGACCUGAGUCGGGGAAGCACGUGAGAACUAUUUUCUCAGUGGGCAGGUACCACAGUUUGUGUUUAGCUGCGUCAGCUCAGAGAGAAUGUAGUAUGUUCCAGGUGACUCAGCCAUGAAGUUGCACAGCGGAGCUUGGCCCUGGUGGUGCCCUUAAUCAUGGUGGCAUUGCAGGAAGGACGCGCAGAAGCCCCGGCCUGGAGGGAGGCCUGUCACCUCUGCUCAUUCACUCUGCUCGUCUUGGGAGCGAGGUGCUCCUUAUCAGAUCAUCAGAGCCUUAAUUGAUUGAUUGAUUGAAAGAGUUUCCUGCUGAAGAAUGAAUACUAUGAACGAUCUAAUCGUGCAAGAGUCUGCGAGUGCCUGAGACAUACAUUCAAGGUUGAUCUGUAUUCAGUUGCUCAUUUCAUCCAGGAAUCACUUUGAAGCUUCAGUGACCAAUAAAUGAUUUAUUCUG
ensembl:lncRNA